CUUAAUUCUGUUUACAUUUUAUUAAUUUAUUUUCUUUAACAUUAUUUAUGUUAUAUGUUUUUUGAAUUUUAUAAAACAACAUCUAAUUCUUCCCUCUUGAUAUUUUGUGUUCUAAUUUGCAUACUAUUAUUUUGUGAUGAUAAUACCCUUGGUGAUAUUUUUACAUUUUUAUUUUUAACCAUGUAUUGUUUAGCUCUACCUUUAAAUACAGGGUGGAGCAGAGAAAAGACAUGUUUUGUAAACUGCUAGUACUCAUCGAGGAAUGGGCUAAUGAUUUUGGGCAAUCUCUGGCAGACAGCUCAGACAACAUAGUUUCAGUCACUAUGGAACGUUGGAGUGUAGAGCAUCACAUGUUUGCUGUCGAGCAGUUUUUUAGAAACAAUGAUUCUGUGAUAAUGAUUCAAUGUCUUUUCCAUCGAAAGUUUAAUGCCAAAUGUCAAGGUGCAGUCU
rnacentral:lncRNA from 1 species